rfam:Gossypium raimondii chromosome 7, whole genome shotgun sequence.
GGCAGUUUAGCCGAAAGGUCUAAGGCGCCAAAUUUAGGCUCUGGUCUGAAAAGGCGUGGUUCCAAAUCCCACAGCUGUCA